rnacentral:lncRNA from 13 species
GUUCUCUACUCCAGACUCACAAUUGGUAACUUGAAAGAAGAAACAGCAUCUGGGCACUUUGAUGACAAUUUAUACAGAAGUGAGUAGCAGCUCUGCUGAAAUGGUGAUCUCAGGACAGAGAUAAGUGACGUUCAAAUUAUUCCGUCAUGGAAAGGAUCGCGGGGAAGGAAAGUCAAGGUCCCCUGUUUCACAGCAGCUGCCUGGUUACCUCAGGGCAGGAUCAGCUUUCAAGCUCUCCUGGUGGUUGUUGAUAGAAUUGGAUCUUGCAGGCUGUUGGACCAAGUUUCUUCCUGGCGACUGAUGGAAGCUGUUCUCAUUUACUUGCCACUUGGUCCUUUCAAUAGGACAGCCCAAAACACAGCAGCUGGCUUCAUCAGAAUGAGCAAGAGAAGCUCCAACAAGGGGUUCGCCACGUUUUCUAGGGGAUAGCCUUUCUACAUUUCCACCACAUUCCUGGGAAACAGAAAUAAUCUUCAGAGGCUACAACUGCUGAUUAAAUUGUUCAUGGCAUUUGGGAAUGGAGAGGUUAUAUGGAGAAAAAGAAAACUAUCAAAGAUCUACCUGCAAAUUCAUUAGCCA